rnacentral:misc_RNA from 1 species
UUUGAAGAAGAAGAAGAAAAAAAAUAAUUUCUGUUUGUUAACUUGUGCAGGAUGCGCCCACCUUUGAAUUUUAUAACCAGCGUGAUGACAAUAUAACGUGUCAGCAGAUCUGGACCUGUGGGCCCACUCCACGGUGGUGCCUGAACACAGCCGAGCAUUCCGGCAGCUCACCCAGAUCGGCGAACAGAGAUUCAUCCUCUUCUCUCAUAGGGAAAAACAUCGCCGCGUCAGCCUCCGCCGUGCUCCUCUCAUCCGCAAAAAUGGGGCUCUCGAGGAUGGUGGAAGAGGUGGUUUCCAUUUCUCCAAACCAGCUAAACUCAUCUCUACUAAUAAGUGAGUCAUCUCCAAGAUCAGUGAACUUUUCCUCAGGUUCAGGUUCAGGUUCGGGUUCUGGGUUUUCAGGUUGGGUGGGUGUGGAGAUUUCGGACUUGACUGUGUUGAGUUUGGUGGAGGCGUUACCUUGGUGGUGGUGAUGGUGCUGGGUCUUUGAAGGAGGUGGCCAAGGGUGGUUGUGUUCGCAAGAGUAGGUGACCACUAGCAUUGAAGGGUCCACACGGCUCCUCUCUACCUGUUUUCUGGCAGGGCAGCCCUUUGAACUGCUACA